AGCAUCCUGAGGGGGGAGAUUUUCAAAAUAUCAUUAAGUCAUAUGUGGGGGGGGGGUUAAAAAAACUUACAUACAAAAAAUUGAAAAAAAAAAUUAAUAUUUCAAAGACUUGAAAAAAAAAAUUUGGAGAUAUCAAAAAAAAAUUAAUCAGCUCUCAAAUCGUUUAUGUUGAUCUCUGUUCUAGAAAUUAUUAUGUCAUACAUAUUUAAAGCGUAUGGCAAUUCAUCGUAAUAAACGUAUACAUUGUAGUCUAGAAUUGACAGCAUCUUUUUAAUUAAUUUGAUGACGGUUUCGAUCGGAUCAUUCACUGAAAUCCGAAUUGGGCCAAUAGGCGCUAUGGUUACUUUCGACUCAUCCCAGCGGAAUCUACUUCCGCAAUAUACAAUUGGAAAUGUGUUUCUGUCAUGUAUAAAAAUGUCAACGAAUGCUGUCACACUUUUUUUUGCAAUAUUUGAGAUUUCAAAAAUUUGUACCAUCUGAAAAAAAAUUGAAUUAAUUAAUUUGUUCUACCAUGUAUAAGUAAUUUUACCAAGAUGUUGUGUUUCCAUGCUAUGCCAGAGAAAGAUAACAAAGUAUUUGCCUACACCUUGUAUGUAUUAUUGGUGCGUGAGGUUUUUCCAAAACAAAGUAACUGGAUAACUGGAGAAGGUAGAAAAAAUAUGGAAUUUUGCUAAAAGAUAAGAUUUGUUUCCAUAUCUGGAGGUUUGUCAAUGUCCAGUACGUACUUCUUAUGCUUGCUUGUUUGAGGUGUUCAAAGGUGUAUUGUGAACCAGAAAAAAAAAUCUUGAUUUUUAUCAGUUUUGUGUGUAAAAUUUUUGUGAAAAGUUGAUAUAUUUUUUUAUUUUAUUUUCUUAUUUUAUUCCUUUUUAAUUAAUUUGAGUUACAAUGGAUUCUCAGAACAAUGACUUUCUUGCUGGUAAGUGAAUUUUUGAUUCUAUUUUUAUCAUUAAAUUGGUGUAUAUUUUUUUUUCAAAAAAUUUUAGGGGGGGAAUAAAUUUGGAUCAUGAUUUUAGGCUAUUUGUGUUUGAUAAAAAAUUAUAGAAUUUCUCAAUUUUUCUAGGUUUAGAUGAAAUCAAUUUUGACAGUGAGGAAUUUCAGCCUGUAGACGUUAUCCAGGAGGUGACAAAUGCUGGACCACCAAAUGAGGUAUGUUUUUUGUUUUUUUAUUAAAUUUUUGAAAGAAUAAUUCACAUGAUGUCUGUGUUUUUUUUUUUUUUUUUUGAUUUUUGAGUUUUGAUAACUUUGGUUUUGUUUGUAGACAAGUUUAAAUGCUAUGAUCCUUGAGUUGGAAACACCAAGAAAUUCCACAGUGGAGCCCCAGAUGGAGACUCAGAUGGAGCCCCAAGCAGGACCAUCGAAUGUAAAUGUUGUACCAGAGCCUCAAAUUGUUGAACCACAAGCAACUGGAAAUCAUUUUGUUGAGGCUCCUAGGUUAAAUAGAACUGUUGAUCAAUUCAGAUUUCCACUACGACAUUCAUACUUGAAAGCUGAUGGUGUUACGAAGGGAUUCUUAACACAUAAUGACCCUAGGGCCAUGUGUGUUGAUUACGAAUUAGGCUUUAACAGCCCAUGUAUGUCUACACGGUGCUGGUUUUAUAAUAGCCACUUUUGGUCUAUUCAUGUAAGUUGGGAAAAAAAAAAUUUCAUCAUUUUUUUGUCUAAAAAAAAAAAAUCAUAUUUUUGACACUUUUUUGUAACAUUUUUUUUUUGUAUUUUCAGAAGGACUUAAUGGAAACAAUAAAAGUUCGGUUCGAAGGAGGUAUGGUGAAUAUUAAUGUAAUUCAGGUCCAUCCGCAGUUUAAGAUAUUAUUUCCCUUUACUUAUCAAAACUAUGUGGAUCUCAAAAGAAAUAUCAUUAGAUUUGGGCCAUCCUAUGAUGAAUGUUACUUAUGGUUACCUACGAGAUCACUGGAAACGUCACCAUUGAGGCACCGUUCAAACGUUUGAGUUGAUAUCAAGCAAGUCCGAAGAAAGAGUGAGAAAAAAAAAUUGUAAAAAGUAAUUUUAAUUAACCUGUAAAAAAAAAGGUAAAAUAUUAAUUUUUGUACAGUUAUUAGAUAUGUAUGUAUUUAAACUAAUUGUUUUUUUUUUGUUU